GGGGGGGGGGGGGUGAGGGUGGGGGGGGCACAGGGUCAGCUACACAAACAAUGUUACCCUCGCUACAUUUAACGUCAAGCCCCGCAGGCGACAACAAUGGCGUCAGCACGGCCCUUCCACGUCUAAACGUUGCUAGAUUUCUCUCUGGCUGGUCUCAGUGUGCUCGAACAGCACAAAGUCCAAACAAUUGAGAGGUUUUUCUGUUUUCCAUCGCGCUCAGCAGGUCACAACUCGUAUAAAAACACAAAGGUUGCAGCUGCCGUGGCUUUUCACACCACUGCCAUUAAAAAAAAAAAAAAAAAAAAAGCUGCGGUUCAUUCCUCAAAGAAUGUGAAGCCGGGCGUCUGAAGGAGGCCGCAAAACAAACCUCUGCCAUGGGGCUUCGGUGAGGAGUGUUACUGGUUGAGGUACUGUCUCUCUCUCUCUAAUCCGAGGCCGUUUGAAGGGAGGGGAAGUCGGUGCUGCACCCGAGAGUUGGCGCUCGCUCUCGUUUGAAAGAGAAGGAGGCGUGGAUGUGAUCGGUCAGGUGGUUCGUUGGCCGCAAGGCGUCAAAUCUUGGAUUUAAAGUUAAAAGAUAACAGCGAUGAACAAAAGUGCCACAGAGUCCAUUAGGAAAUCAGCGUCUUCUGUUGCUGCCAUGAUACUUUGGUUUCCCAAGGGGACGCUACUGAGAAGCUGGCUCACCAAGUCGCGGCCCAGGUUGCUGCUGCUGAUCGCAGGGUUGAAGAGGCCUCAGGUGACCCUCAUGAGGAGGAAAAGGAUGAAGCGCACAAAAGUAGCAAAGGCCACGUAAGCGAACCUGCAGCCGGAUGCCCCACUUCACCUGAGUCCUUAACAGAAAGGAACUCCUUGUUAGAUAUGGAAGACAAAGAUAAGGAAGACCUGUGUGUUGGAUCGUUUCCCCAGCAACGAACUAAAAUCCCGGAACCACAAGACAGAGUGAAGCCGGAGAACAAACCACAGAGAUUGAGACCUCCAGACUAAUCCGGAUUACACCAGACCUGGACUGCCAGCUUCACCCCACUCUCUUCAAAUACACAUCUGUUUUGGCUCAUUAGACUGUAAUGACUGUGGCCUGUACCUCAUUCCUAUCCAAAGGGAAACUGUUGGUAGAACAAACCCAGCUGUCCCUGUGUUCUUAGUUCAGACUCUUUCAGGUUUCCAGGUUGAUGUGUUUGAGUCUCAGAGGAGCCCAAACCAGCUGCUGAUUAAACUCUUAAAUCUGAUGGGACGCCAACUCAGCCUCACAUUCUUCUGUCAGACCAAAACUUGUCAAGUAGCUCACUUCCACACAAAACGAAGCUUUUAUGACAUCCACCGAGAAAUGCGGACGUUACAACAUUCAACCCUUGAUGAUAUGGAAAUUUGUAAUGUCAAGAUUCAGACGCUAGGUUGCUAAUCAUGGCACAGUUUGCAAUAGAAAUUUGCUUAAUCAUCAUCUGUGCAGGAUGUGAACUUGAAGUCUGAGGAGGUUUUUUUUCUUGAAGUUUUUCCCCCAUUUUAUUUUUCAUAACGUGGGUAGAAUAAGUUUUGGAAGAAAACGCUUCAUUUUCAUCGUGUUUGUCUGUAAAUAAUUGUAGACACACAACUGGCUCGAACAGUGGAGUGUCUGGAGAAAUUUGCUUCAUGUGGGAUGAUUGGAUUUCGCAAAGCCAAGGACGUCAGUGACUAAUAAUAUUAUCUAACAAGCCUCAGGAAAUGUGGGGUUUGUGAUGUUUUGUCUGCCUACAACAGUUGCCAUUGUUGUGGAUGGUUACACGCAAAUUUAAACAACAUCCAGCUGAAAAUAUCCUUUCACUAACAGUUGACAAAGAAUUUAAUUGGUCGAGGAGGGUCCCAGUCAGAAAUAUCAGAUAUUGGAAAGUCAGAGAUCUGUGUAAUGAUCUUACUAAACCGUGACGUAAUGGUGUGCUUGAAAACUAGUUUGAUUUAUUUGAAGCAUUAUAUGGAGGAAAGAAAGUAUUAAAUAAAAUGCAAACAAAAUUUUCUUUUGUCCAAGUGGAGCCUUCAGUCUCAUUUUGUUGUUUUAGCUUCAACACCACAGAUAGAUCAGUGAUUUUAUCUAAAAGCCCACACAUUUCUAUUCUUUAAGCUAGCUAAAUCUUCAGUGCUGUGGUCCUUUUACCAGCUAUUUUAAAUUUCUCUUGAUUCCCACAGUUUAAAGUGUAUGUUUGUGAUAUUAGUCCACAUCUUGUCAUGGUAGACAUAUGGUAGUCACUUUGCUGUGAUGGAUUCACUUCAAAAUUAAUCAAAAAAUACAUCCAACAUGUUGACAAUUGAACAUGGUAGCACUUUAUAUUAAGUUAAAUUCUUUUUAUUUCCAAUCAUUCAACAUUUCAAAGAUCACCAAAAUUAAAAGAUUGAAAGGUAUCGGAUUAAUCUCUAUCUUAUUCCAUUUCUAUUUUUUAACUAUUCGUAGUGACAUCCAUCAAGGAAACCUAAUUCUUGUUAACCAUAUUGACUUGCUGGAAAAAGUUAAAUAAACUACUGACUUAAUAUAAAGUGUCACCAAAUAUUUGUACUGAUUUAAGA